rnacentral:tRNA from 1 species
GGGGAUAUAGCUCAGUUGGUAGAGCGCCUGAUUUGCAUUCAGGAGGUCCUCGGUUCGAGUCCGUGUAUCUCCACCA